rnacentral:rRNA from 1 species
CCUACGGGAGGCAGCAGUAAGGAAUAUUGGUCAAUGGGCGGAAGCCUGAACCAGCCAUGCCGCGUGCAGGAAGACGGCCCUACGGGUUGUAAACUGCUUUUAUACGGGAAUAAACCUACUUAUGUAUAAGUAGCUGAAUGUACUGUAAGAAUAAGGAUCGGCUAACUCCGUGCCAGCAGCCGCGGUAAUACGGAGGAUCCAAGCGUUAUCCGGAUUUAUUGGGUUUAAAGGGUGCGUAGGUGGUUCAUUAAGUCAGGGGUGAAAGACGGCAGCUUAACUGUCGCAGUGCCUUUGAUACUGAUGAACUUGAAUGAACUAGAGGUAGGCGGAAUGUGACAAGUAGCGGUGAAAUGCAUAGAUAUGUCACAGAACACCAAUUGCGAAGGCAGCUUACUAUGGUUUGAUUGACACUGAGGCACGAAAGCGUGGGGAUCAAACAGGAUUAGAUACCCUGGUAGUCCACGCCCUAAACGAUGAAUACUCGAUGUUGGCGAUAUACGGUCAGCGUCUAAGCGAAAGCGUUAAGUAUUCCACCUGGGGAGUACGCCGCGAGGAGAACGUAAAGUAAGUAGACGCGUGAGAGUGCGACGACGACGACGAGGGAGGAGG